rnacentral:rRNA from 1 species
AAUUCGAUUGAGUUUGAUCCUGGCUCAGGAUGAACGCUAGCGGCAGGCCUAAUACAUGCAAGUCGAGGGGCAGCGCGGGUAGCAAUACCUGGCGGCGACCGGCAAACGGGUGCGGAACACGUACGCAACCUUCCUUCAAAUAAGGAAUAGCCCAGGGAAACUUGGAUUAAUACUUUAUAAAAUAAUAGAGUGGCAUCACUUAAUUAUUAAAGCUUCGGCGUUUGAAGAUGGGCGUGCGCCUGAUUAGAUAGUUGGCGGGGUAACGGCCCACCAAGUCUGCGAUCAGUAACUGGUGUGAGAGCAUGACCAGUCACACGGGCACUGAGACACGGGCCCGACUCCUACGGGAGGCAGCAGUAAGGAAUAUUGGUCAAUGGACGCAAGUCUGAACCAGCCAUGCCGCGUGGAGGAUGAAGGUCCUCUGGAUUGUAAACUUCUUUUAUUUGGGAAGAAAUGUGAAAAUUCUUUUUCACUUGACGGUACCAGAUGAAUAAGCACCGGCUAACUCCGUGCCAGCAGCCGCGGUAAUACGGAGGGUGCAAGCGUUAUCCGGAUUUACUGGGUUUAAAGGGUGCGUAGGCGGGCAGGUAAGUCAGUGGUGAAAUCCUCAAGCUUAACUUGAGAACUGCCAUUGAUACUAUUUGUCUUGAAUAUCUUGAGGUGAGCAGAAUAUGUCAUGUAGCGGUGAAAUGCUUAGAUAUGACAUAGAAUACCAAUUGCGAAGGCAGCUCACUACACGGUUAUUGACGCUGAGGCACGAAAGCGUGGGGAUCAAACAGGAUUAGAUACCCUGG